UGCAUUAAACCUUAGUACCUCGGUGCUGCCGGUGGCUCCCUGGCUGGAAGCACCUUGAGCUGUCUUCUACAAACCUGUGCUGGGAAGCUUGCAGUGAGGCAAAUCUGCUCUGAUUCACGGCACACACACUGUCUUCAAGGUCUUCUCAUUGCUGGAAAGAAACUGCAUUUUUAGUAGGCUUUGACUGUGGGAAACUUGGAUUUGGUUUCAGUAUUAUGAGAGGUGCAUCUCAUUUCCCUCACAUGCAGCCAUAGACACACACACUUCACCGGCAUUCAAAGCAAGGAAACUCAGACAAAACUGUUUCCUGUUUUGCCUGGAAAACAGAAAACGAACCCAACACAAUAAAUAAUUGUGAGCAAGCAGAGAGGCUGGGAAUCGAGCGCUGUAACUGAAUGGGAGGGAUUUGCAGAGGCCGCCAAGGCUCUGGGUGUAGGAGCAGUGGGAUCUCCUGCUGCCCUGCAUGACGCUUUGCAAAUCCUGAGCUAACAGCCCGUCUUUUGUGCUUUUGUAGAUAAAGUCCAGGGUCGCUGGGUGAGUCCUAAGUGUCCCCAGGGAGGAAGGUUAGCUCUGCCAGCAAGGGUCCCGGACCCUUUGUGAUCCUGUUGGCUUUGGUGUCCCUGCCUCGAAUAUUUGGGUGCAAUCCUCAAACUGCAAAUCAGAGGGACAUAUAGAGAAGCUGGAUAAAUUUAAUUCAGAUCCAAAGAGGAGCUUGGCAUGAGCACACAUGCUCUGAGAUGAGGGGACAUCCAAGCUUCGUUGUUGGUAGUGCAUUUCCCACAGAUGACCUCGUCCGGAGGAACACGAGCGGCCGGCGAAUCUGAGCUGGGGCCAUUGUGACAGCGAUGGGAACACGACAGGCGCCAACAGCAAGCCCACACAGGCCUCCAGCAAGCGCACCCAAGCACUUUUCAGCUGCAGAGGGGCCCUCACCCAUUAGGGCCUCCCAGGAUCUCUUCUCGUCUUGGAAAAACAAGGAGGACUAUUUCACAUCGGAGGCCAUAAAUACACUUCACUCGGCAUUCGGAACUCGCUGGGGUUCGGGGAAGAGGAGCCUGCCAGGAUGAGAGCUGCCUGACAUCAUCCGGAUCCGGUCCAGGACCAUCAGACACCUGCUGAGCCUCCCAGUGUAAUUCCACGGCAGCUGCUGCCCUAGCCCACAAGUGCACAAGCGGGAACAUGAGCUGUUUGGAUCGCUUGCCUCAAACAUUGUUCUCCGGAGUGUUUGAAAAAGGCCUAAUGAAAUGUGACUCAGAAAUAACUGACAAGUGCCAGCCUCACCUUCUUAUUGUUUCAUCAAAAUGGGAAAGACAGUGAGGAGAAGAGUCAACCUUCUCCAUGAGAUCUGCUGUCCCAACUUGCCCGCAACUUGCAGACUGACUGAAAUGUUGACACAGAGUUGACAUCUCCACUUGAUUUAUGGAGAGCUUGAACGGCGGGGAAAAAAUUAAACAUUAUAAAUCAAUGAGUAACAUCCAUAACCCUGAAGUGCUUGUUGUAA
rnacentral:lncRNA from 1 species